ACCUUUCAUGUUGUAUGUGUAAGCAAACAUGUGAUGAGUUGUUUGCAGACAAGGAGGAAAGGUGGAAUCGAGAUGAUGCAGCCACAGUUGAGGACAUCACAAAGGCAACAGCUGAUUGUGCUGAACAACGAUCGCACAUAUCUUGAGAUUAUGGAGACAAUGCAAGCGUGGGCGUUAAGAGCUGAGGAGCUGGUCGUCAGGUGUUUCGCAUGAUUGUCAUCAGCUAGAGGACUAUAAGAAGGAGGCGAGCCAGUACUUCGACGCCUGAGUGUUUUGCCUCUUCGUGGUUGACCAAGCCUCGCUCAUGUGAGAUAUCUGAAGAAACUUUCCAAUAGCUUUUUGGACUCUGGAUUCUUGUUUUUGUUCCACUGGCAACCAGAUUAGAGAUUGUUCUCACAGCUUCAUGCGAACCCUG